GUGCCAGACUCCUACGGGAGGCAGCAGUGAGGAAUAUUGGUCAAUGGGCGGGAGCCUGAACCAGCCAAGUCGCGUGAGGGAUGACGGCCCUAUGGGUUGUAAACCUCUUUUGCCGGGGAGCAAAGUGCCGCACGUGUGGCGCCACUGAGAGUACCCGGAGAAAAAGCAUCGGCUAACUCCGUGCCAGCAGCCGCGGUAAUACGGAGGAUGCGAGCGUUAUCCGGAUUCACUGGGUGUAAAGGGAGCGUAGACGGCGGCGCAAGUCUGGAGUGAAAGCCCGGGGCCCAACCCCGGGACUGCUCUGGAAACUGCGGCGCUGGAGUACGGGAGGGGCAGGCGGAAUUCCUGGUGCAGCGGUGAAAUGCGUAGAUAUCAGGAGGAACACCGGCGGCGAAGGCGGCCUGCUGGACCGUGACUGACGUUGAGGCUCGAGAGCGUGGGGAGCAAACAGGAUUAGAUACCCGAGUA
rnacentral:rRNA from 1 species